ensembl:lncRNA
AUCGCAGAUGUGCAGCUCUGUGUAUUUUCUGACUCAGUUUCCUCUCAGCCAGCCAAUUUAAACACUGAACCAUUUCCUCUGCCAGCAUCACCGGAGUCCAAUGUUGCAUUACACUACAGCACUUCAUCGCUGCACUGUGGUCUGUCAGAGGAAGAAGGGCGCAUUGUCCGGGAGCUGUAGGAUUCCCAUUGCAGUUACACCUUCUGGAAGGAAACCAGGAGAAAUGCCUUGCAAGCCGAACCUCAGCACAGGAAGUCCCUGGUGGCUUUAUCCUAUUGAAGACCUGAAUGCUAUCAAUCCCUCUCAGCCACUUGCCGACACAAGAGCAGCAGAGCAGGCUAGACUUCAAAUGACCACAUCAUCUGCAGAGACCCUAAAGGGUUAAUAGUGACUUACAGUAGUAUUCCUUGAGACAAAACAAGGCAUUUGGAUUUUUUUUUUUUUUGCUAAAAAGUUGAGAAAAAUCUUUUGAUAAGAAACUCCACGUGAAACACAGAGAUAUCUCAUUUCCAGAGGUGUUCUGACGUGGCUGAACUGUACCUUCAGCAAAUUAUUUACCUCUUAAUUUGUUAAAACAUAUGGGCUUAGAGGUAACUUUGCCCAUGAGGCGUACAUCUAUAUUAUAUGCUUGUUUGGUUUGACUUCAUUUUCCUUGGAGACCUGAACAAAUGGUUUCCGCAUUUCAGAAGUUGUUUUUUUUUUUUUUCCUCCUCUCACGUGUUCACAGCAGCAGCGUUACAUAUGUAUUUUGUUUCUUUUGCCUGCAAUGAAAGAGGAGCGUGCUCAUUUGCAGUACAGUGGGCAAAGUGGGGCAAUGUUUCAGGAUGAGGAAAGUCACAUAUCUCUACAUCUGCGAGGAGCACAGUCAGAAUGGAUGUUUGGCCCCUUUGCCAAUCUCUACCAACAGCCACUUCCCCACAGAGCACCCAGCGUGUCCCUGCUCACCAUCUUGUUCCCCAGUACAAGAAAAGAGAGGAACCAACAAACUCCACACAAAGUCCUUGUUGAUAUUUCAGUGCUUCAUCACAAAAAUCUCUUGCCAAACACUUGGAAGAGUAUUUGCCCCCCCCCCCCCCCCAGCCAAGUUAAAAUGCAAGCCCACUUGCAAAGCAUUAGUGUGAGGUAAUCGAAAUAGCACCUUCCACAAAGACCAAAAGAAAGUGGAGGAGAUCUGUAUCAACACCCAUCAUUCCUAAGAAAGUCAUGGACUUCCUGCUGCAUGGCUCCACCAGCACACCAGCAUCAACUGCAUGUUUAGUUUUUGCAUCUCUCAGGCCUGUCCUUGCUAUCAAGGCUCUGGUAGCACAUGUAUUCCCAUGAUCCUGUCUUGUGGACAACGUCUCCUUGUGCAAAGCUCCAAGGUGGCAUUCACACAACUUCACCUCAUUCUCUUAUCUUCUUUUGCUACAAUACAGAGAAAUGGGAACAAAACAUUAUUUCUUUAAAAUAGCAGCAUGAUAAUUGAUGCUCUCAAGAGGGGAAAAAGGAAGAAACCCACCAGGGACAGAGUUCAACUAAACAAAAAAGUGAACCAAACAAAACCCAUAGAUGAACGGGAUGCUACUUCACUUUAGGAUCACUUUUCUUCACUGCAAGACAAGGGCAGCAGAAAUAAAACCCAGCUGAAAGAAAGCUUCUCACCAGCGUGUGCUGACCAUGGGAUGGGUCUUAAAACUACUCCCGUGUGCAUAAGUCUGAAGAAAUCCUUAAGCUUGUCUGUGGUGAGCAUAGCAAUGGAAGCAGCUGCCAUGCUCUGCAGCCACUCAAGUUACUAUCAGACAGGAAGCUUCAGAGCUUUGCCACUGAGCAUUACUGCUACAUUUCUCUCUUAGCUUAGGCUGGGUGGUUAAUUCAUUAUUUUUUUGCUCUUGCUCUCUGCUCAGGGAAAGAGAUUAUCUCUUUGUUUAGGUGCUUCUGGAUAGUAGGCACCUCUGCUUUUCAGCAGCACUCCAGAAGGGAAAUGCCUUUUCAAUACAGGCUGCUAAUGCGUUCACAGGCUGAAAUCAAGCUCCCUACCUACGGCAGGCUCCCCAAUUCCCAGGACAAUCAAGCCGACACAAUUAAAUUCUUCCUCUUCUGUGACAGAACUAUACGCAGUGGUUAGUAUUACAUUACAUUGAAAAUAAUUAAUAUUGUGGAGGCUUUUUUGCAUGUUUGUGUGUUAAAGACUUGACCUUUUAAUUUGUUUUUCCCUCAGAAAUGUUCUGCAAUCUAAUGAUUUAUAUAGAUUGUCCAAAGUUGCCAGGUAGUCUGUCCCAGCUCUCCAGAAUAACUCUGAUGAUAUUUACCCACACUCAGUGUCAGAGAACUGCUUUUGCUUGCUGUGCUAGGGAAAGCAUUCACAGGGGCCUACAUCUGCCAGGUCUGGUACAAAAGGACAGUGGAAUCAGCACACCCAUUAAAUCAGCCUGAUAAGUCACUAACUGAUAAGCAAUUGCUAGAUAAAUUAUCAGCUACUUAUACA